UACGGAGGAUGCAAGCGUUAUCCGGAAUUAUUGGGCGUAAAGCGUCCGUAGGUGGCCGUUCAAGUCUGCUGUCAAAGGCUGGGGCUUAACUCCAGACAGGCAGUGGAAACUGAACAGCUAGAGUGUGGUAGGGGUAGAGGGAAUUCCCGGUGUAGCGGUGAAAUGCGUAGAGAUCGGGAAGAACACCGGUGGCGAAAGCGCUCUGCUGGACCACAACUGACACUGAGGGACGAAAGCUAGGGGAGCGAAUGGG
rnacentral:rRNA from 1 species